AGGACGAACGCUGGCGGCGUGCCUAAUACAUGCAAGUCGAACGGAUUGCCUUCGGGCAGUUAGUGGCGGACGGGUGAGUAACACGUGAGUGACCUGCCCUGGAGUGGGGAAUAACUCUGCGAAAGCAGAGCUAAUACCGCAUUCGCUUACUUCAUCAUCGGAGUAAGUAAAGCUUCAUGCGCUUCAGGAGGGGCUUGCGGCCGAUUAGCUAGUCGGUGGGGUAAUGGCCUACCGAGGCGACAAUCGGUAGCUGGUCUGAGAGGAUGACCAGCCACACUGGGACUGAGACACGGCCCAGACUCCUACGGGAGGCAGCAGUAAGGAAUAUUCCACAAUGGCCGCAAGGCUGAUGGAGCAACGCCGCGUGCGCGACGAAGCCCUUCGGGGUGUAAAGCGCUUUUCCCAGGGAUGAGAAUGGACAGUACCUGGGAAUAAGCCUCGGCUAACUACGUGCCAGCAGCCGC
rnacentral:rRNA from 1 species